rnacentral:rRNA from 1 species
UACGGGGGGGGCAAGCGUUGUUCGGAAUUACUGGGCGUAAAGGGCUCGUAGGCGGCCAACUAAGUCAGACGUGAAAUCCCCAGGCUCAACCUGGGAACUGCGUCUGAUACUGGAUGGCUUGAAUCCGGGAGAGGGAUGCAGAAUUCCAGGUGUAGCGGUGAAAUGCGUCGAUAUCUGGAGGAAUACCGGUGGCGAAGGCGGCAUCCUGGACCGGCAUUGACGCUGAGGAGCGAAAGCCAGGGGAGCAAACGGG